GCAAGCAAGCUCAUUUACAGAAGUGAAAACACGAAGCUUACUAUCUUAUGUGAUCAACAGCCCCCAGCAAUUUCAGGCAGCUCCCUGUCCUUGGGCAAGUGGGGCUCCCAGGGUAGAGGGUCUAUCUCUAAAGCCCUUCUCCAGAACCCACAUCUGAGGAUCCUUUGUUAGAAUUUGAAGACAAUCCUGAAGAUGUCUACAAGGCACCAGGAAGAUUACAGCCUGUGGCAGAGCACAGGUCAACCAAAACCUGCUAGAGAAAUGCUGGCCAGUUUGGAGCAUACAGAAGAAAUGUUGGGGAAAGUGAAUUCCAGCAAAAGAACAUAGUGUCAAUCAUCUCAGUAAAUGGC